AUGAACGCUAGCUACAGGCUUAACACAUGCAAGUCGAGGGGCAGCAUGGUCUUAGCUUGCUAAGGCCGAUGGCGACCGGCGCACGGGUGAGUAACACGUAUCCAACCUGCCGUCUACUCUUGGACAGCCUUCUGAAAGGAAGAUUAAUACAAGAUGGCAUCAUGAGUCCGCAUGUUCACAUGAUUAAAGGUAUUCCGGUAGACGAUGGGGAUGCGUUCCAUUAGAUAGUAGGCGGGGUAACGGCCCACCUAGUCUUCGAUGGAUAGGGGUUCUGAGAGGAAGGUCCCCCACAUUGGAACUGAGACACGGUCCAAACUCCUACGGGAGGCAGCAGUGAGGAAUAUUGGUCAAUGGGCGAGAGCCUGAACCAGCCAAGUAGCGUGAAGGAUGACUGCCCUAUGGGUUGUAAACUUCUUUUAUAAAGGAAUAAAGUCGGGUAUGGAUACCCGUUUGCAUGUACUUUAUGAAUAAGGAUCGGCUAACUCCGUGCCAGCAGCCGCGGUAAUACGGAGGAUUCGAGCGUUAUCCGGAUUUAUUGGGUUUAAAGGGAGCGUAGAUGGAUGUUUAAGUCAGUUGUGAAAGUUUGCGGCUCAACCGUAAAAUUGCAGUUGAUACUGGAUAUCUUGAGUGCAGUUGAGGCAGGCGGAAUUCGUGGUGUAGCGGUGAAAUGCUUAGAUAUCACGAAGAACUCCGAUUGCGAAGGCAGCCUGCUAAGCUGCAACUGACAUUGAGGCUCGAAAGUGUGGGUAUCAAACAGGAUUAGAUACCCUGGUAGUCCACACGGUAAACGAUGAAUACUCGCUGUUUGCGAUAUACGGCAAGCGGCCAAGCGAAAGCGUUAAGUAUUCCACCUGGGGAGUACGCCGGCAACGGUGAAACUCAAAGGAAUUGACGGGGGCCCGCACAAGCGGAGGAACAUGUGGUUUAAUUCGAUGAUACGCGAGGAACCUUACCCGGGCUUAAAUUGCAGAUGAAUUACGGUGAAAGCCGUAAGCCGCAAGGCAUCUGUGAAGGUGCUGCAUGGUUGUCGUCAGCUCGUGCCGUGAGGUGUCGGCUUAAGUGCCAUAACGAGCGCAACCCUUGUUGUCAGUUACUAACAGGUUCUGCUGAGGACUCUGACAAGACUGCCAUCGUAAGAUGUGAGGAAGGUGGGGAUGACGUCAAAUCAGCACGGCCCUUACGUCCGGGGCUACACACGUGUUACAAUGGGGGGUACAGAGGGCCGCUACCACGCGAGUGGAUGCCAAUCCCCAAAACCUCUCUCAGUUCGGACUGGAGUCUGCAACCCGACUCCACGAAGCUGGAUUCGCUAGUAAUCGCGCAUCAGCCACGGCGCGGUGAAUACGUUCCCGGGCCUUGUACACACCGCCCGUCAAGCCAUGGGAGCCGGGGGUACCUGAAGUGCGUAACCGCGAGGAGCGCCCUAGGGUAAAACUGGUGACUGGGGCU
rnacentral:rRNA from 1 species